UAGUACGAGAGGACCGGAGUGGACGCAUCACUGGUGUUCGGGUUGUCAUGCCAAUGGCACUGCCCGGUAGCUAAAUGCGGAAGAGAUAAGUGCUGAAAGCAUCUAAGCACGAAACUUGCCCCGAGAUGAGUUCUCCCUGAGACUUAGAGUCUCCUGAAGGAACGUUAAAGACGAUGACGUUGAUAGGCCGGGUGUGUAAGCGCAGCGAUGCGUUGAGCUAACCGGUACUAAUGAACCGUGAGGCUUAACCUUACAACGCCGAAG
rnacentral:rRNA from 1 species